rnacentral:rRNA from 1 species
AUUGAACGCUGGCGGCAGGCCUAACACAUGCAAGUCGAGCGCGCGGCGGACGUGUGAGUAAUGUAUGGGGAUUUGCCAGAUAGAGGGGGAUAACUACUGGACACGGUGGCUAUUACCGCAUAAUAUCGGAUUAACCCAUAUGGGAUUAACUAGUAGGUGGGGUAAAGGCUCACCAAGGCGACGAUCUCUAGCUGGUCUGAGAGGAUGAUCAGCCACACUGGGACUGAGACACGGCCCAAACUCCUACGGGAGGCAGCAGUGGGGAAUAUUGCAGAAUGGGCGCAAGCCUGAUGCAGCCAUGCCGCGUGUAUGAAGAAGGCCUUAGGGUUGUAAAGUACUUUUAGCGGAGAAGCGUUACCCGCAGAAGAAGCACCGGCUAACUACGUGCCAGCAGCCGCGGUAAUUC